rnacentral:snRNA from 1 species
AGUGGUUCAGCCUUUUGGCUAAGAUGAAGCGUAGGUAUCUGCUCUUAUCAGUUCAUCGUCUGAUAUGCCCUCUCUCUGAGGACAACAUAUUUUUUGAUAGUGCUAACUUCUACUUGUUUUUAUGAUAAUGUCAUUCUUAGUCUUUUAUGUUCAACUCUCUCCUCUUGGGUGGGGAAGGCGAGGUGGGAGCUGGGUAACCCAC